GGAUAGAUGGUCGAGUGGUUUAAGGCGUUAGUUUUGAAAACUAUUGUAUCUUUCUGGAUACCGUGGGUUCGAAUCCCACUCUAUCCU
rnacentral:tRNA from 1 species